rnacentral:rRNA from 1 species
GUGGGGAAUCUUCCACAAUGGACGAAAGUCUGAUGGAGCAACGCCGCGUGAGUGAAGAAGGGUUUCGGCUCGUAAAGCUCUGUUGUCGGGGACGAAUGUGCAGUAUUUGAAUAAAGUACUGUAAUGACGGUACCUGACGAGGAAGCCACGGCUAACUACGUGCCAGCAGCCGCGGUAAUACGUAGGUGGCAAGCGUUGUCCGGAAUUAUUGGGCGUAAAGGGAGCGCAGGCGGGAAGGUAAGUCGGUCUUAAAAGUGCGGGGCUCAACCCCGUGAGGGGAUCGAAACUAUCUUUCUUGAGUGCAGGAGAGGAAAGUGGAAUUCCUAGUGUAGCGGUGAAAUGCGUAGAUAUUAGGAGGAACACCAGUGGCGAAGGCGACUUUCUGGACUGUAACUGACGCUGAGGCUCGAAAGCCAGGGGAGCGAACGGGAUUAGAUACCCUGGUAGUCC